rnacentral:misc_RNA from 1 species
CAACAAUAGAUCCAAUUCCUUUGGAGGCCUUUACUCUCCAGGAAUCAGAAGUUUCAGCUGUAAAAUAUCUCUCUCUUGAGGAGUACCGAAGAGUGCUUGCUCAAGAACAUCCUGAGUAUGUUCCUUAUGAUGUGAAUGGGGAAUAUGGUCAGCUCUUUACGAUAAUUGAGAAGAGGUACAAGGAAAAUGCUGAAGCUAGAAGUUUGUCUCUUCAGAAGCAGCUAAACCGCUACGCUAGUACUUCCCUCUCUGCAGAGUUAACUGGGCUGACUGCAG